rnacentral:rRNA from 1 species
AUUUUGACUGUACAAAGGUAGCAUAAUCAAUAGUCUCUUAAUUGGUGACUUGUAUGAAAGAUUGGAUGAGAUAUAUACUGUCUCUAAUUAAUUUAUUGAAAUUAAUUUUUUAGUAAAAAAGCUAAAAUAAUUUUAAAAGACGAGAAGACCCUAUAGAGUUUAAUAAUUUAUUUAAUUAUUAUUAAUAUAUAAUUUUUAAAAUUAAAAUUAAAUAAAUUAUUUUGUUGGGGUGAUAAAAAAAUUAAAUUAACUUUUUUUAAUUAUUAACAUUAAUUUAUGAAUAAAUGAUCCAUUUAUAGUGAUUAAAAGAAAAAAUUACCUUAGGGAUAACAGCGUAAUUUUUUUUUUUAGUUCAAAUAGGAAAAAAAGUUUGCGACCUCGAUGUUGG